rnacentral:lncRNA from 1 species
GGGUAUGGGUGUGAAGUCACAGAUGGGCCUUGGUCUGUAUAAACAUACAAGUGUCAUGUAUGGACAUGAGGCUCUUACUCCCACUGUCUUCAGGCGCCGGACAACACAGCUAGAAGAGGGUGAGGUGGGGACCCUUCAUCCUGUGUUUGCCCGUGUUGCUCAGCGCUGGAUGGAGUUUAUGGUUCAGAUUGGUUGUGCCUCAGUGUCCAGAAGCUCUGCCCACAUGGUGUCCCGGUUCCUCCUUCCAUCCAUCCUGUCUGAGUUCACCGCACUGGUCACCUCAAUGGCUGGAGACACCAGUGUCCGCAUCUUUGAGCAGCAUUUGUG